CUCUUUUAGUUUAAAAUUCUAGUUUGGUGUGUGGUCUUUGGGACACAUCCAGAGCUUUCAGCUCUACAUCCGGGAUUUCUCGCUUUGGCCUGUGGGGAAAGAACCACUCGCUGGGACAACAUCUGUUUUCCUGCUCGAGUAGACAAAAGAAGCCAGAUCCAAUUGGACUGCAAGACGCACCGUGAAGACCACCAACAAGAUAGCAAAAAACUCACAGUUUAAAAGGAGACAUUCUUAAUGCAUCUAAAGAACUAUCAUUAUUCAAACUGAGAACCAUCCAGAAGCAAGAGGCUCAGCUGACGCUCCAUCGCGCCUGUCCUCCCACCGGGCAGGACGUCCCCCCUUCCUCUCUCUGGAGAUCAGUUCUUCUACUAAAGUAUAGGUGCUCAUUACCUGGUUUUCUGGCGGCCAGCCAACGUGUUCUCCCAGGUGCAUGUGUGCACACAGG